rnacentral:rRNA from 1 species
GACGAACGCUGGCGGCGUGCUUAACACAUGCAAGUCGAACGCUGAAGCUCAGCUUUUGUUGGGUGGAUGAGUGGCGAACGGGUGAGUAACACGUGAGUAACCUGCCUCCUUCUUUGGGAUAACGCCCGGAAACGGGUGCUAAUACUGGAUAUUCACUGGUCUUCGCAUGGCGGUUGGUGGAAAGGGUUUUUCUGGUGGGGGAUGGGCUCGCGGCCUAUCAGCUUGUUGGUGGGGUGAUGGCCUACCAAGGCUUUGACGGGUAGCCGGCCUGAGGGGGUGACCGGUCACAUUGGGACUGAGAUACGGCCCAGACUCCUACGGGAGGCAGCAGUGGGGAAUAUUGCACAAUGGGCGCAAGCCUGAUGCAGCGACGCCGCGUGAGGGAUGGAGGCCUUCGGGUUGUGAACCUCUUUCGCUCAUGGUCAAGCCGCAACAAUGGUUGUGGUGAGGGUAGUGGGUAAAGAAGCGCCGGCUAACUACGUG